rnacentral:misc_RNA from 1 species
GAUGAAGAACGCAGCGAAAUGCGAUACUUGGUGUGAAUUGCAGAAUCCCGCGAAUCAUCGAGUUUUUGAACGCAAGUUGCGCCCGAAGCCAUUCGGCCGAGGGCACGUCUGCCUGGGUGUCACGCAUCGUUGCCCCCCCAAACUCCGGUUCGGGCGGGGCGGAAGUUGGCCUCCCGUGCGUGCCUGCGCGCGCGGUUAGCCCAAAAGCGAGUCCUCGGCGAUGAGCGCCACGACAAUCGGUGGUUUUUUUACCCUCGUUCCUCGUCGUGCGUGCCCCGUCGCCCGAACGCGCUCUUGCAACCCUUACGCGUCGCCUCGGUGGCGCUCCCAACGCGACCCCAGGUCAGGCGGGACUACCCGCUGAGUUUAAGCAUAUCAAUAAGCGGAGG